rnacentral:rRNA from 1 species
AUUGAACGCUGGCGGCAGGCCUAACACAUGCAAGUCGAGCGAGCGGCGGACGGGUGAGUAAUGUCUGGGAAACUGCCCGAUGGAGGGGGAUAACUACUGGAAACGGUAGCUAAUACCGCAUACUAUCAGAUGUGCCCAGAUGGGAUUAGCUAGUAGGUGAGGUAAUGGCUCACCUAGGCGACGAUCCCUAGCUGGUCUGAGAGGAUGAUCAGCCACACUGGAACUGAGACACGGUCCAGACUCCUACGGGAGGUAGCAGUGGGGAAUAUGGCACAAUGGGCGCAAGCCUGAUGCAGCCAUGCCGCGUGUGUGAAGAAGGCCUUCGGGUUGUAAAGUACUUUCAGCCGGGAGGCGUUACCCGCAGAAGAAGCACCGGCUAACUCCGUGCCAGCAGCCGCGGUAAUAC